AAAAAGUAUAACCUUGAUCCGUGCCGACCGCCUUAACGCCAACAGUGCUUAAUGCGCCGCUCGGAACCCCCUCAUCUCCCAUAUACACAAUAAAAGACUAUUUCUCGUGCAGGCUCUAAAUAUGCACAAAUAUGGAGGUGGUCAAGAACAUGGGAGACGAGAGAGUUGUGGAAAAGCCAAUGUUUGCACCGUUCUAACCGAAAGUCCCCCUUUUGUCAAAUGGUGUCUAGUUCUUUCAGUUGUUGCCUCUCAACCUCAGCG
ensembl:ncRNA F08F1.17 ncRNA